rnacentral:lncRNA from 1 species
CCAACAGUGUAAACGCAAAUUUAACCUCAAAAGAUUGAACCCCCCUCCCUUCGGAAAAUACACUCUUCCCGCGGUGGACGCGCGGGUCACUUAAAGAGAUAGAACAACUGAGGCCGGACACUCAAACUAAAAAGCGCGCGCGAAGCGCGCGUCAGGGGGGCGAUGCCCCCCCAAUAAAACGGCGCAGAGCGCCGUUUUUUUCCCCUUCAUUUUUGUGUUGAAGAAAAACAUCAAAGUGAGAAUGGAUACCCACGUACUUUUGCUUCUAUACUUUUUACAAUUUUUUUAUAAUAGAUUCUCAUCAGACCGAGACCUUGACUCAUUGGAAUUCAACGAUCAGGAUCAUUAAAGCUGGUUGGGAUGCAACGAUCAGGAUCAUUCAAGCUGGUUGGGAUUCAACGAUCAGGAUCAUUCAAGCUCGUUGAAAUCCAAUGAUCAGGAUCAUUCCAGCUCGUUGAAAUCCAAUGAUCAGGAUCAUUCCAGCUCGUUGAAAUCCAAUGAUCCGGAUCAUUCAAGCUCGUUGAAAUCCAAUGAUUUGGAUCAUUCAAGCUCGUUGAAAUCCAAUGAUCCGGAUCAUUCAAGCUCGUUGAAAUCCAAUGAUCCGGAUCAUUCGGGCGCAUUAAAAUUCAAUGAUCAAGUGAACGAUCUGGAUCAUUCAAAUUUGAAUGAGCUGGCGAAAAACUCAUUCAAAUUUAAUGAUCCGGAUCGUUCAUUUUUCAAUGAGCUUGAAUGAUCCAUUUUUUCUCGGGUGUUGAAUGCAACAAUUUCAAAGUAUUAUAACCUUAAAAUGCAAAAAACUGGGUGAUUUUUUAGGCAAAAAUUGAAGGAAGAUUAGCGCCACAACUGCCUCAAGAUGCGCUCAAGUAGAGUUAAAAUUUCAAAAAUUUUCCGGGGGAGGCCCUCCGGACCCCCCUGAGCUGGAGGGUAUUCCAUACCCCCCAGACCCCCCGUGGUGGGGGGCCAGCCCCCCCCAGCAAAAUGACCUAGCUACGCCUAUGACUACAGGUAUGGACAAACGGGGUGCCGAAGUGGCAGCGCUGAGAAAAUAGGCGAUCUAGUGACGUAUGAAGUCGUACCGUCUAUUUGCCGCGCAGGUUUUCGCAGUCGUACUCUCGAUGCUGUCAUAUCUACGCGUUUUGACAACUUUCUAAAAUUCCAUUUUGCCCUUUGCACACGUUGCAAGUUUUAAAGUUGAAAGUGGGGGUCAUCAGUGCAUUACUCAUCGAUGAUCGUGAAAUUUGCGGGGCCCGCGCAAAUUUCACAAUCAUCGAUGUGGGUUUUUGCAACACAUUUCACGAUCAUGGAUGAGCGAUGCACCGAUGACCCCCACUUUCAGUAAAACACUUGCAACGUGUGCACAGGGCAUUGGUCCAUACCUGUAGUAGAGUGUACCUUGAUUAGUCCGACGGUCGCUGAGAAUCGUUGCUGAAUUCAGGCAUCGGGCCGCACAUUCAGCUCCCACAUUCACCGUGUGAUUGCGGCACAAGAAACGACUUUCAAAUUUCAAAACGAAUUUUCGACCCUUUAAACGCCGGGAACCACGAAGGUUACUCCUGAAAUCGACUCUAAAGCGUCAAAAUAGAGGGGUCCGACCUUUCAUAAGCCUCAAAUCUACAAAUUUCACCUGAGUUAUCGCAGUUGAAAACAGGUCUAAAAUCAUCAGUCUGUCUCCCUCUACGACCGUUCAGCUGUUUACAGGCAGAGACAAGAGACCCUCCACUAAGCCCUUUCCACACGUUGCAAGUUUUGCUGCAAGUGAGCCGAAA